UCCCUGGUUCCUGUGUGUCCGGUUCCCAGGUGGCGGGGCGCAAGGGGUUCCCCCACGUCAUCUACGCCCGUCUGUGGCGCUGGCCCGACCUGCACAAGAACGAGCUGAAGCACGUCAAGUACUGCCAGUACGCCUUCGACCUCAAGUGCGACAGUGUCUGCGUCAACCCUUACCACUACGAGCGCGUGGUGUCACCCGGCAUCGAUCUCUCGGGGCUGACGCUGCAGAGUUCAGGUGAGUAGCCCCGUGUUUCUGACACACCCGCAGAAAUCCUGCUUUUGGCCCCCCC